rnacentral:tRNA from 3 species
GCGGAUAUGGUCGAGUGGUAAAAUAUCUCCUUGCCAAGGAGAAGACGCGGGUUCGAUUCCCGCUAUCCGCC